UGACGGCGCCCGCGACCACGACAAGGAUGGCGACCAUCUCUUCGGAAGCCUAACGAUCCAGCACAGGUCCCAGCCCUGCGCAGCCGCCCGCCAAGCCGCCAGAGGACCAGCCGAACGCCAAAGGCUAGGAGUGGACGAUUGCAGGAAGUUUCCAACUCGCCGACUUCGCCCCACUCCACUGGCUCCGGCUUGGCGGUCCCCGGCUUCGGGGUGCCCUCCGUCCCUCCCCCUCGCGUCGUCGCGUUCUCCCUUGGCAUAACCCCCCGCCGCGGGGCCGCAGACCCCCUAAGCGCUUCGUGCGCUCUCCGCGCCCUGCCCACCGGCCCCGACCCCUCCCCCGACCGGACGGGAGAGGUGGGAAGUUUGGGGGCACCCGCUGUGGGUGUCCCAUUUGCGGGGCUGGGCUCCGGGGAGCCGGCGCGCGGCGCCCGCUCCCUGCCCGCCAGCCGUUUGGGAGCUCAGGCGCGGGCAGCCGCUUUUGUUCCCGGGAAGGGCGGAGCUGCGUCCCGGGGAGACACGCGUUGCAGCCGGCAGCGUAGUUGCUCCCCGCUGGCCGGCCGCUCCGGGAGGGCCCCGCAGCGGAGGGUCGGGGCUGGGGCGGGCUGGGGAGGGGGCCCAGGGCUGGGGCCGGUUCGGCCUCCCGGGUGGCGCGCGGGCCGAGGAGCUAGGAGGACCGCCGCGCCGCUUGUCCUUUGGAUAAACCUUGGCGGUUCCUCCUCUGGUGUCCGUGGACCCCGCCGCGGCGUUCUCCAGGGCCGCGGACCUUUGCCCACCGGUUGCGCCCGCUGCCCCGGGCAGAAAGGACCCCCCUCCUCCCGGACCGAGCCCCGAGCCCCAUGGAGCAGGCAAGGGCCAGAGUCCCGGGGCCGAGGCCCGACCGGCGGACGCUCCGGGACCUUUUCCCGCCCCCGAGGGUGCAUGUCCGGCCGGGGCCGGGACUGGCUGGGAAACCGAGGCCAGAAGAGGUCGCAAUCCAGCGAGGAAUCGGAUGUGGACCUUGCCUGGUGAGAGUCCCGCUCGGAUUUCCCCAGGGCCCCUCCACCGCGCAGCAGGGGUGUCUGCGCUGGGCCCAGGCAUUCACCAGGGCCUGCAGGCUGCCAGCCUGGAGUUUCCCUAG
rnacentral:lncRNA from 1 species